AAGUCACAGACUGAGAAAUCUCUGCAGGCAAAUGUGAUGGCAUGACAGCGAUCUCACAGCUACCUGUAGAGGUUCCGCGAUCUGGAGGC